CCGCCUUGUCGAGCUGGGAUAGCGACGCUGCUAUGAAAAAUAAGUCAGGCUCGUGUCGUGAGAUGUUGGGUUAAGUCCCGCAACGAGCGCAACCCUUGUCUCUAGUUGCUACGAAAGGGCACUCUAGAGAGACUGCCGGUGACAAACCGGAGGAAGGUGGGGAUGACGUCAAGUCCUCAUGGCCCUUAUGGGUAGGGCUUCACACGUCAUACAAUGGUGCAUACAGAGGAUUGCCAAGCCGCGAGGUGGAGCUAAUCCCAGAAAAUGCAUCGUAGUCCGGAUCGUAGUCUGCAACUCGACUACGUGAAGCUGGAAUCGCUAGUAAUCGCGGAUCAGCAUGCCGCGGUGAAUACGUUCCCGGGUCUUGUACACACCGCCCGUCACACCAUGGGAGUGGGCUUUACCAGAAGUAGUUAGCCUAACCGCAAGGAGGGCGAUUACCACGGUAGGGUUCAUGACUGGGGUGAAGUCGUAACAAGGUAGCCGUAUCGGAAGGUGCGGCUGGAUCACCUCCUUUAAGAGCGUGCAUCCUAGUUAGGCGUCCACACUUAUCGGUUUGUUUGAUGUUACAGCCAAGGGUCUGUAGCUCAGGUGGUUAGAGCACCGUCUUGAUAAGGCGGGGGUCGUAGGUUCAAGUCCUACCAGACCCACCAAGUUACGGACGGUGGAAGUCUCGCGCGGUCCUUGGGGGAACAACUUUCCCAAAUAACUUACCUCAUCACUUUUUAUUUUUUUUCCUCGCCCCUUCCCCCCCCUUUGGCGCCCCCUGCUCGUGUUGCCCUUUCGCGCUGUGUGCCUUGGGGUUUGUUUUGGGCUGCGGUUGCGGUCGGGCGCCUCUUGGGGGGGUCUGUUGCGGGG
rnacentral:sRNA from 1 species